YUUCUUGGUGUAAUAAGAAGUCGUGCCUGCCCACUGAGAUUUUGAAGGGCCGCGGUAUUCUGACCGUGCAAAGGUAGCAUAAUCAUUAGUCUUUUAAUUGGGGACUGGAAUGAAUGGUUUGACGAGAUGGUUUCUGUCUUUUUUAUAAAUUUUGAAUUUUACUUUUGAGUUAAAAGGCUUAAGUAUUAGUUAGGGACGAGAAGACCCUAUAGAUCUUUAUUAUUUGAUGAAAAUUUAAGUGGUUAGUAGUUGAAUUUUUUUUUUGUUGAUUAAUUUUGUUGGGGUGACAUGGGAAGAGAAAAACUUCUUAUUUAAUUAAACUUUGAUUGAUGAUCAUAUGAACCUAUUAUUUGGAUAGAAGAUUAAGAUACCUUAGGGAUAACAGCGUUAUCUUAUUUGAGAGUUCAUAUCGACAAUAAGGGUUGCGACCCUCGAUGUUGGAUUAAGAUUAUAUUUUGGUGUAGUAGUUAAAAUUGUUGGUCUGUUC
rnacentral:rRNA from 1 species